rnacentral:rRNA from 1 species
UACAGAGGUGGCAGGCGUUGUUCGGAAUUACUGGGCGUAAAGGGCGCGUAGGCGGUCAGGUCAGUCCCGUGUGAAAUCCCUCGGCUCAACUGAGGAACUGCACGGGAAACUGCCUGGCUUGAGUUCGGGAGAGGGAAGCGGAAUUCCGGGUGUAGCGGUGAAAUGCGUAGAUAUCGGGAGGAACACCAGUGGCGAAGGCGACUUCCUGGCCUGUUCUUGACGCUGAGGCGCGAAAGCUAGGGUAGCAAACGGG